UGGGGAAUUUUGGACAAUGGGCGAAAGCCUGAUCCAGCAAUGCCGCGUGUGUGAAGAAGGCCUUCGGGUUGUAAAGCACUUUUGUCCGGAAAGAAAUCCUUGGCUCUAAUACAGUCGGGGGAUGACGGUACCGGAAGAAUAAGCACCGGCUAACUACGUGCCAGCAGCCGCGGUAAUACGUAGGGUGCAAGCGUUAAUCGGAAUUACUGGGCGUAAAGCGUGCGCAGGCGGUUUGCUAAGACCGAUGUGAAAUCCCCGGGCUCAACCUGGGAACUGCAUUGGUGACUGGCAGGCUAGAGUAUGGCAGAGGGGGGUAGAAUUCCACGUGUAGCAGUGAAAUGCGUAGAGAUGUGGAGGAAUACCGAUGGCGAAGGCAGCCCCCUGGGCCAAUACUGACGCUCAUGCACGAAAGCGUGGGGAGCAAACAGGAUUAGAUACCCGUGGUAGUCCACGCCCUAAACGAUGUCAACUAGUUGUUGGGGAUUCAUUUCCUUAGUAACGUAGCUAACGCGUGAAGUUGACCGCCUGGGGAGUACGGUCGCAAGAUUAAAACUCAAAUGAAUUGACGGGGUCAUAGCUGUUUCCU
rnacentral:rRNA from 1 species